rnacentral:sRNA from 1 species
UCGUGGGAACGUGCGCUCGAACUUGAC